CCUACGGGCGGCAGCAGUAGGGAAUCUUCCGCAAUGGGCGAAAGCCUGACGGAGCAACGCCGCGUGAGUGAUGAAGGUCUUCGGAUCGUAAAACUCUGUUAUUAGGGAAGAAAAUACGUGUAAGUAACUAUGCUCGUCUUGACGGUACCUAAUCAGAAAGCCACGGCUAACUACGUGCCAGCAGCCGCGGUAAUACGUAGGUGGCAAGCGUUAUCCGGAAUUAUUGGGCGUAAAGGGCGCGGAGGCGGUUUUUUAAGUCUGAUGUGAAAGCCAACGGCUCAAACGGAGAGGGGCAUUGGAAACUGGAAGGCUAGAGUGCAGAAGAGGAAAGUGGAAUGCCAUGUGUAGCGGUGAAAUGCGCAGAUAUAUGGAGGAACACCAGUGGCGAAGGCGACUUUCUGGUCUGUAACUGACGCUGAGGUGCGAAAGCGUGGGGAUCAAACAGGAUUAGAUACCCGAGUAGUC
rnacentral:rRNA from 1 species